UUCCGAAUGCGACCUUCUUUAUUACGAUCAAAGCAGCAGCACCAACCCCAGUUCUAUCACUCUUUAUAUGCAUCCCUCCCUUGGUCAAAUCCCAAACUUAAUCUGCCUCCAUAUCCACAGCGUUCUCUCCCAACAAAGACUCAACAAAAACAAAAGAAAUGCUAUCAGUCUCGAGCAGUUGUGGCCUUCCAAUCUGUCUAACUGGGAUUCCUCGUCCUCUUCCUUUCUCCCAAGAGUUGGAGGAUCAUGAAAGGAGGAGGGAGAGCGUGAAAAGGAAGAAAUUUCAAGAGUUUUUGCAGUUACAUGAGAUGAUUACUAGAGAGGCUUCGGGCCAUGGAAGCAACAACCGUGGAGGAGGUGUUGUUAAAACUGAGUUUUAUCCCUGCAUUUCCCUACCCAGUACUGCAAAAGCUGCAUAAGUUAGUUACUAUGUUCUAGGCUUCAGUUUUUCUUCUAUUGUUGCUUUUCAAUAUGAAUCUUAUGAGAUGGGAAAUUCUACAUUUGAAUUUGGUUGCUCUA